UACGAACCGUACAAACGUUAUUCGGAAUCACUGGGCUUAAAGGGUGCGUAGGCGGCCAUGUAAGUGAGGUGUGAAAUCCCUCGGCUCAACCGAGGAACUGCGCUUCAUACUGCAUGGCUUGAGGGAGACAGGGGUAAGCGGAACUGAUGGUGGAGCGGUGAAAUGCGUUGAUAUCUGAAGGAACAUCAGUGGCGAAAGCGACUUCCUGGACCAAUACUGACGCUCAUGUGCGAAAGCGUGGGGAGCAAACAGG
rnacentral:rRNA from 1 species